CGUGUCUGGGACUUUGAAUGUUAUGCCUGUGAAUAUGGAAACCGCUUUGAAUAUUAAACAUUUAACCUGCUUAACAUAGAUCACUGAAUCGGCCCAAAAUGUGACAUGUAAAAAUUAUGACGGAACAAAAACAAGAAACCAGAAAAAGGACAUUUAAGAUUUUUGACCUGAACCGCUGGAGUAUAACCGUUGAGAUUAACAGUAUUUUCAUUCCUGUAACAAGGCUAAAUGAACAUCAUAAAUAGUAUCAAUAAAUUGUCUUAAUCAAAGCUUUUGAAAGCAAAUGAAAAUUAAUGGCUAAAAUCAACCGGUUAUUGCUCUGAAAUACUUUCUCAACGUUGAAUAACACACUUGAAACUGGUAUCUGCGAAUAGACAUGCAAAAAGUACCCAAAAAAUGGGUUCUAUUUUCAAGAUUCGGUUGCUUUGCUUUCCAUGUUUUUUGUAAACAAAACUUACAAAGAUACAUCUAUUUACAUCAAUUAAUGUUUGUGUGUUUCUUUAUGUAAACAAUUUAACCUCUUAACCUUGUUAAUUAAAUUACUUAAAUUGUAAACUGGUUAUGUGAGGUGAAAGGAAAGGCUAAGAUUGACAAUUAACAAUGACAACCAUAAACUGAUUGAAGACAUGAAAUUUUGUGAAAUGAAAGAUGAUAAUCCGCUUUUCCUUUUGAUUAAUGGUCAUUGCUACUUGACCGUGUGAGAGAGUAAGAUUAUCGUCUAAUUAACAGUUGAAUAUUAGAGACAAAGAUGAAGAAGAAGAAGAAGAAAGAUUGAAGACAAUCUUCAUCAUCAUCUGAAUUUUGUUCAACUCUUUAAUGACACAUUUACCUCUCAUCUUUCUCAUCAUCGCCAUCAUCUUCAUCACCAGUUAAGUGACCGGUUAGCCGCAGGUUAUUUUAAUUGUUGACCUUUUUCUUUACUUUUGACCAACAAACUAAUCACAAUCAUGAGAGCAACUUGGUUGGACUUCACUGGACAUACUUUGUGUGUUCACCGCUAAAUUGGUCAUCAUGAUAAGAUGAAAGUAAUUAAAGGCCAAAAUUAAAGCAAGAGUAAAAGUCUAACCGUUAUUUUAUUGUUUAAAAUUGUGAUAAUUGUAACAAUCGCCCGUCUAAAUUGAGUUCAACAGUUUUCUGCUAAUUUUCAAAAUUAUCACAAUCAGUUAACAUUAUUUGUACUCUUUAAUAAAUGAAUACAAAAUUGAAAACAAAGGGCAUGGUCAGCUUACAAUAGCAAUGAUAAUAAAUUAUUAACUCAAUGACCCU